rnacentral:lncRNA from 1 species
GUGUGUUUUGCAUUUAGGGCGGGUCCAUUUUAACUCCAAAAGGCGCAUUCCUUGGCCGUGUGUUCAUUGGGUCAUUUUAAGAGCAUUCCUUGGCCGUGUGUUCAUUUGGGUUAUUAAGAGCAUUCCUUGGCCGUGUGUUCAUGUGGUCAUUUUAGAGCAUUCCUUGGCCGUGUGUUCAUUGGGUCCUUUUAAGAGCUUUCACUUAGGCGGUGAUUUUUCCUUGGGUCAUUUCAGGCUUCCUUGGCCUGUGUGUUCAUUGGGUCAUUUAAGAGCAUUCCUUGGCCGUGUGUUCAUUGGGUCAUUUUAAGAGCAUCCUUGGCCGUGUGUUCAUGGGUCAUUUUAAGAGCAUUCUUGGCCGUGUGUUCAGUGGGUCAUUUUAAGAGCAUUCCUUGGCCACGGGCCGGUGUUGUAGAGAAGAGGGGUGUUAUUGACAAUGAUGGUUCUGGUGUUCAAGCCGUAAUUGCUUAAUUAUGUGCGUUGUGCAACACGUUGUGAUGUACUGUGUAACAUUUAUAAUGUUUGUUAUGCACUCCACAUGCACCGAGUGAAACAAACAUUAAGAACCUUCCUAAUAUUGAAGUCCCCUCUCAUUUGCCCUCAGAACAGUUGAAACGGAGAAAGUUGAUCUCGUCUUAACAGGGAUAUUCUUGUUUCUGUGUGUCUCCAGGUGCCUCCAGUCCAGCCAAUAGGGUCUGUGGGUGGUCCCCCUGGCCCCCCAACCCCCUCUCUCACCCCCGGUGGACCCCCUCCUUCCUGCCCGCUGGCUUCAACCCCACACAGAUGCCUCCAGGUUUUCCCCACCACCGGGGGUGGGAGGACCAAGGAGCACCACAGAUGACUCGGGGUCUACAGACAAGGCGGAGGGAGUGGUGGCCUCUCUGGCCCCUCAGACGCUCCAGACAGCCAUGGGAGCUCCAGGCCAGGGCCGUGAUGAGUCCCUCCAGGCCCAGCAGUGUUACUAGGUCCAGGAUGGCCAUGAUGACCAUGCAGCCUCGUUCAGACACCACCCCCUCAACUCCAGCCCACUUUUGCCCUCACCUCCCUCCCCCCAACAUGCCCCCAAUGAUGAGGGCUCCAGGGGCCCCAACCCAUGUUCCCCCCAAGGGGGCCUCCAGGUGGUUCAGGAUGCCCAUGGGCCACCAUCCAUGGAGGACUUUCCUCACGGACCCCCCAGACAUCCUUCCAGCCUGGACCCCCCAGACAUCCCUUCACCCGGACCCCCCGGGGAAGAGGUGGCAACUCUGGGAGGGCGGGAGACACUUCAGGGGCGAGAGCCAGGGUUCGGGGACAUGACAGGGAUGGGGGGUUUGGGGACAGGUGAGAGGGUUUCCGAGAGGAGGAAGAGAGGGGUUGGUCCAGAGGUGGGCCUGAGGGGAGGGACCGCUUCAUGAAUCGACAGGAUAGAUUUGAACGGUGAUGACAGGGCCGGGGGGGGGGGGGGGGACAACAUCCAGGGUCCUGUCGGGAAAAACCCUUUUGGAACAGAUAACGACCUGAACUCGUCCAAUAAAACACAGAGUUUAGUUUUUUUUCUACAGUGCGUGUAACUGAACACAUCCCAGAUGAUCUGGCCUCAAGAGAACCAUGGAGACUGGGCACAUUUUGAGUCGGGACACAAACAUUGAAAUGUACAGCCUGUCCCUGAUUAAUUCUCGACCGUUCCAAAGACAUUAAGACGAACACAAAGAACAUUAUGGUCCGUUACCCAGAAACACGAAUAGACUAGUCCGUGAAUAAAUAGCAUGUUCAAUGGAGGCUCUGUGAGAACGACUUCUUAGUCCAGGACGAGGUUUAAUCUGUGUCUGGAAACCAACUCGGUGAAUAUCAUUCACAGUUAUACAAUCCGACGGAAGUACUAAUUUUGCAGUCAGUUCAUGUGAAUAACUUUGUCCUAUUUUGAGCUGGUAUAUUCUGACAGAAAACCACAGAGAGAAGAAUACUGCUUGUAUAUAUUGUAUGUGCUGAUGGCCAAUAUCUUGUUUUGUAUAUUUGAUGAGUGAAUGUUUUGUUAAUUCUCAAGUAAGUCUGUCACUAGGCCAGUUAGAAAAAAUUAGAAAAAACAAACUGUUGAUUGUUGUCAGUUUUACGUUGGAUCUGAAACCACAAUGAUCUUUAUUUGAUUGAGGGGAGGGGGGGGGGGCGCUCAGAACACCAAAAUAUUUUGCUUCAGAAUUUGUAUCAUUAGCUGUUUGUUUUUAGUAAACUAUUUUUGUACUAAACAAGUGUCUCUUGUAAAUUCUUCAUGGGAGGCAAAUUUUAAAUGCAAUGUAUUUUUUCACUCACUGACAUCAGGGAAACCGUUGGCAGUUCCAUCGUUUACCACUAGAGGGCAAUGAAG